AAUAGUUAAUGACAAUGACCUUUUAAACCUUUAGAGGGCAGAGGUCGUUCGAUGAAUAUCUAUU
rfam:Helobdella robusta unplaced genomic scaffold HELROscaffold_3, whole genome shotgun sequence.